GCCCCCUCUCUCCCCAGGUGAAGGACUGUCUCGUGACCUCAAAGCGCUUGAUCACCAUUUGCAUCCGACAUUCAUAGUCCCCAAUAAGGACCUGACUAAUCUUCUGGAUGUUGGACUGAAGUGGACAUGAAGUGGCAUCAUGACUCAGUGGCGUUUUCAGAAGAGGCCCAGGCAGGACAUCAUCUGGUAACAUCGCAAGAUGAGACUCCACCUGAAAACAUUACAUUAAAGCUCUAAGUACAAACUGGAGAUUCUAGGUGAACGUCUCAUGUACAACAUUUCAGAUGAACUGUCGAAAAUUAAAAUUAUGCAAUGACUUAUGAA